rnacentral:rRNA from 1 species
UACAGAGGUCUCGAGCGUUGUUCGGAUUCAUUGGGCGUAAAGGGUGCGUAGGCGGCGCGGUAAGUCGGGUGUGAAAUCUCGGAGCUUAACUCCGAAACUGCAUUCGAUACUGCCGUGCUUGAGGACUGGAGAGGAGACUGGAAUUUACGGUGUAGCGGUGAAAUGCGUAGAUACUCGUAAGGAAGACCAGUGGCGAAGGCGGGUCUCUGGACAGUUCCUGACGCUGAGGCACGAAGGCCAGGGAGCAAACGGG